UGCCAGCAGCCGCGGUAAUACGUAGGGUGCGAGCGUUGUCCGGAAUUACUGGGCGUAAAGAGCUCGUAGGUGGUUUGUCGCGUCGUUUGUGUAAGCCCGCAGCUUAACUGCGGGACUGCAGGCGAUACGGGCAUAACUUGAGUGCUGUAGGGGAGACUGGAAUUCCUGGUGUAGCGGUGGAAUGCGCAGAUAUCAGGAGGAACACCGAUGGCGAAGGCAGGUCUCUGGGCAGUAACUGACGCUGAGGAGCGAAAGCAUGGGUAGCGAACAGGAUUAGAUACCCUGGUAGUCCAUGCCGUAAACGGUGGGCGCUAGGUGUGAGUCCCUUCCACGGGGUUCGUGCCGUAGCUAACGCAUUAAGCGCCCCGCCUGGGGAGUACGGCCGCAAGGCUAAAACUCAAAGGAAUUGACGGGGGCCCGCACAAG
rnacentral:rRNA from 1 species